rnacentral:rRNA from 1 species
UGUGACUGCGUACCUUUUGUAUAAUGGGUCAGCGACUUAUAUUCAGUGGCAAGGUUAACCAUCUAGGGGAGCCGUAGGGAAACCGAGUCUUAACUGGGCGUUCAGUCUCUGGAUAUAGACCCGAAACCAGGUGAUCUAGCCAUGGGCAGGUUGAAGGUUGAGUAACAUCAACUGGAGGACCGAACCGACUAAUGUUGAAAAAUUAGCGGAUGACUUGUGGCUAGGGGUGAAAGGCCAAUCAAACCUGGAGAUAGCU